rnacentral:tRNA from 1 species
GGACAGGUGGCGGAGUGGUCGAACGCGCCGGUCUCGAAAACCGGAGUACGUGCAAGCGUACCGUGGGUUCGAAUCCCACCCUGUCCGCCA